GAUGAACGCUGGCGGCGUGCCUAAUACAUGCAAGUCGAGCGAACGGACGAGAAGCUUGCUUCUCUGUUGUUAGCGGCGGACGGGUGAGUAGCACGUGGAUAACCUAUCUAUAAGACUGGGAUAACUUCGGGAAACCGGAGUUAUUACCGUAUAAUAUUUUGAACCGCAUGGUUCAAAAGUGAAAGACGGUCUUUCUGUCAACUAUAGAUGGAUCCGCUCUGCAUUAGCUAGUUGGUAAGGUAACGGGUUACCAAGGCAACGAUGCAUAGCCGACGUGAGAGGGUGAUCGGCCACACUGGAACGGAGACACGGUCCAGACUCCUACGGGAGGGAGCAGUAGCGAAUCUGACGCAAUGGGCGAGAGCCUGACGGAGCAGCGCCGCGUGAGUGGUGAAGGUCUUGGGAUCGUAAAAAUGUGUUUUUAGGGAAGAACAUAUGUGUAAGGAAAAGUAGAGAGAUUGACGGUACCUAAUCAGAAAGCCACGGCUAACUACGUG
rnacentral:rRNA from 1 species